ACUCUGUGUGUGUGUGUGUGUGUGUGUGUGUGUGUGUGUGUGUGUGUGUGUGUGUAAGACAGAAUGUGAGUGUGAGAGAGGCAGAGAGAGAAAAUGCUUCACUAGAUGGUCUUUUGCGCUGUGACAUCAUAACUAAUGGACUUUCUGGAAUGAGGUCACACAACACGUCACUUUAUGGCUUGAACACACACACACACACACACACACACACACACACACACACACACCUCUAAGACUCCUCCAUGUGCAUUCUCUUGGUACAUAUUACACACAUCUGCCUUUUGUGCAUUUUUAUGACACUCCCAGUCCACCGUCAAAGAAAAAAAAAUCUAGUGAAAAUGACAUUUAUAUUUUAUUAUUUUUAAAACAAGUUUUUUUUUUCCCCCUCUUAAAGUCUGUGAUGGAACGAGUGUGUGUGUGUGUGUGUGUGUGUGUGUAAUUGUAAUGGGGGGUUUGCAGUAAGAUUAGAACCUGCUUUGUGAUUAUAAUGAUGUGUAAUAUUUUGGCAGGAUAAAUGACUCCUAAAUCCAUAUCUCAUGUUUAACUAAAUAAAUCCUCAGCACAGGAUUCUGCUUUAUCCAUGCAGAAGGUUCGGGAGACGCGGCUGAGCCUUCAGUCAUCGUCAUCGUCUGUGAUUCUGAGCUAUAAAAAACAGUUUUGUAAUUUUCUAUAAAACAGGUUCUCAAAGUGAGAUCCAGGGACAUUCUGGGCUCCGAGAGACAAAGCUAGCAGAUUUUUUUUUUUUCUUUGUUUAAGCUAAAGAUGUAUUCUGUUUAGAAUUUGUCCUUCUGUCUGAAUAAUGACUUUAAUUUAAGUAAAUUCAGUCUCAUGAAAAGUUAGAAGUGAAUAAACAUGUUGUGUCUGUGGAAGGUUCAGGAAUGAAAAGCUCUAUGGCUGCAGUUAACAGCCAAAAAUAUUACGGUACACGUUUAAAUAAUGAGCCUGAUUUAAGUAAUAAAAAAUAAAUCUGUA